ACACAUACAUACACACACAUAUAUAUAUAUACACUCACACACACAGUAAAUACUGUUAGCACUUUCUCAUAUGUCCUGUGUGGCAGUUUCCCACCCCUUUGUGUUUUGAAAGCAAUGUUCUUAACCAAAUAGUACAUCAAUUACUCACUUUUCAAGAGUUAUUUAAAUGCCAGGAAAUACACUAGCUACUCCUUUUGGGUACUGUA